AACGAACGCUGGCGGCGCGCCUAACACAUGCAAGUCGAACGAGAAUCCGGGGCAACCCGGUAGUAAAGUGGCAAACGGGUGAGGAAUACAUGGGUAACCUACCCUUGAGAAGGGAAUAACCCGCCGAAAGGUGAGCUAAUACCCUAUACGCUAUCUUUUUUUCGUAAAGGAAUAGGAAAGGACUGGGUCGGAGGACCGUGGUACGUCAAGGAGGGGCGUCAUGUCCUAUCAGCUUGUUGGUGGGGUAACGGGCCUACCAAGGCUACGACGGGUAGGCUGGUCUGAGAGGAUGAUCAGCCACACUGGCACUGAGAUACGGGCC
rnacentral:rRNA from 1 species